rnacentral:lncRNA from 1 species
UAAAAGUACACGAGUAUUAUCAUUAUGUAGUUAAACUAUCAGCAGUAAAAGUACACAAGUAUCAUCAUCAUGUAGUUAAAGUUUCAACAGUAAAAGUACACAAGUAUCAUCAUCAUGUAGUUAAAGUAUCAGCAGUAAAAGUACACGAGUAUUAUCAUCAUGUAGUUAAAGUAUCAGCAGUAAAAGUACACGAGUAUUAUCAUCAUGUAGUUAAAGUAUCAGCAGUAAAAGUACACAAGUAUUAUCAUCAUGUAGUUAAAGUAUCAGCAGUAAGUACACGAGUAUUAUCAUCAUGUAGUUAAAGUAUCAGCAGUAAAAGUACACAAGUAUUAUCAUCAUGUAGUUAAAGUAUCAGCAGUAAAAGUACACGAGUAUUAUCAUCUUCGCACCUGACGUGUGAGAUUGUGUGAGCUUUUAUAUAAAGUGCUGACGUCAGCAUUGCUCCUGUAAGAAACUAUGACAACA